CGGAGCUGUUUGGGCUGACUGCCGAGGAAGUGUACCUGGUGCAUGAUGAGCUGGACAAGCCCCUGGGGAGACUGGCUCUGAAGCUGGGGGGCAGUGCCAGGGGCCACAAUGGAGUCCGUUCCUGCAUUAGCUGCCUCAACUCCAACGCAAUGCCAAGGCUGCGGGUGGGCAUCGGGCGCCCGACACACCCUGAGGCGGUACAGGCCCAUGUGCUGGGCUGCUUCUCCCCUGCUGAGCAGGAGCUGCUGCCUCUGUUGCUGGAUCGAGCCACCGACCUGAUCUUGGACCACAUUCGUGAGCGAAGCCAGGGGCCCUCACUGGGGCCAUGACACCAGUGGCCAUGGCUGCCCGCCUGACUGUAGUACCCACCAACCCAGCCAGGGCCACAGAGCUGCCAUGCCAGCCUUGGUAUCUACUUUUUAUACAACUGUCCUCUAGACUGUUCCAGGCUGCCUGCGGAUUAAAGUGGGGGUGACUGU